AUUGAACGCUGGCGGCAGGCCUAACACAUGCAAGUCGAACGAGUGGCGGCCGGGUGAGUAAUGUCUGGGAAACUGCCCGAUGGAGUGGGAUAACUACUGGAAACGGUAGCUAAUACCGCAUACCAUCGGAUGUGCCUAGAUGGGAUUGGCUAGUAGGUGGGGUAACGGCUCACCUAGGCGACGAUCCCUAGCUGGUCUGAGAGGAUGACCGGGCGAGCGGGAACUGAGACACGGUCCAGACUCCUACGUGAGGCAGCAGUGGGGAAUAGUGCACAAUGGGCGCAAGCCUGAUGCAGCGAUGCCGCGUGUAUGAAGAAGGCCUUCGGGUUGUAAAGUACUUUCAGCGAGGAGGCGUUACUCGCAGAAGAAGCACCGGCUAACUCCGUGCCAGCAGCCGCGGUAAUUC
rnacentral:rRNA from 1 species